rnacentral:rRNA from 1 species
GACGAACGCUGGCGGCGUGCUUAACACAUGCAAGUCGAACGGAAAGGCCCUGCUUUUUUGGUGUGCUCGAGUGGCGAACGGGUGAGUAACACGUGAGUAACCUGCCCUUGACUUUGGGAUAACUUCAGGAAACUGGGGCUAAUACCGGAUAGGAUCUCCUGCUGCAUGGUGGGGGUUGGAAAGUUUCGGCGGUUGGGGAUGGACUCGCGGCUUAUGAGCUUGUUGGUGGGGUAGUGGCUUACCAAGGCUUUGACGGGUAGCCGGCCUGAGAGGGUGACCGGGCACAUUGGGACUGCGAUACGGCCCAGACGCCUACGGGAGGCAGCAGUGGGGAAUAUUGCACAAUGGGCGGAAGCCUGAUGCAGCAACGCCGCGUGCGGGAUGACGGUCUUCGGGUUGUAAACCGCUUCAGCCUGUGACGAAGCGUGAGUGACGGUAAUGGGUAAAGAAGCACCGGCUAACUACGUG